CCUACGGUAGGCUGCAGUGAGGAAUAUUGGUCAAUGGGCGUAAGCCUGAACCAGCCAAGUCGCGUGAAGGAUGACGGCUCUACGGGUUGUAAACUUCUUUUAUAAGGGAAUAAAGUGAGGCACGUGUGCCUUUUUGUAUGUACUUUAUGAAUAAGGAUCGGCUAACUCCGUGCCGGCAGCCGCGGUAAUACGGAGGAUGCGAGCGUUAUCCGGUUUUAUUGGGUUUAAAGGGUGCGCAGGCGGAAGAUCAAGUCAGCGGUAAAAUUGUGGGGCUCAACCUAUUCGAGCCGUUGAAACUGGUUGUCUUGAGUAAGCGAGAAGUAUGCGGAAUGCGUGGUGUAGCGGUGAAAUGCAUAGAUAUCACGCAGAACUCCGAUUGCGAAGGCAGCAUACCGGCGCUCAACUGACGCUCAUGCACGAAAGUGUGGGUAUCGAACAGGAUUAGAUACCCUAGUAGUC
rnacentral:rRNA from 1 species